CCGCAGUCCCCGAGCCCACCCGGCCUCUGGGCCCCUCUGGGUGGUGGCUGAGUCCGGGCAGCUCUGCUGGACCCUGAUGCCGCAGCAAUGCCGGCCCGGUGGGCAGACGCGCCGAGGGGCUCUCAGAGGCCGCUAAUCAUCUGCCUGGCGUGCAGGCUGCUCUGAUCCUGACGGAGAGGCCAGGGUCUGCUCGGGGACCCUGGGCGUGGCGGCUGGGAUGCCCUCAGGGUGGCCUGCCUCCCGCCACCAGCCUGCUCGGCACUCCCCUGACCAAGCGCUCCCCUGCCUGGCUCUCUGGCCUUGAGUCCGUCUGGCAGACUCAGCCUGGGCCGGCCCCGCUGGCGCCCCACCUCCCAUCACCCUCGCUGCCCGCCCCACGGCCUGCUGCCCCGCGCCCAGCUCCUCAGUCCAGCCACCACCACAGCUGCCUGUUUCCAGCUGGAAUGUCCCUGAGCCGAGAGAGAAACCCUGACGUGGCUUAACUUCUGUGGCAAUUCAGAAAGCAAAACGUCGAGAAGAAAACUUCUAAGCGCUCUCUCUGCGUUUGUCCUUGCAAGCCUCCCCGUCGUUGAACUGUGCCUUUUCUUUAAAAUGCCAUGAGAUGGCCGAAUCAGGAAGACCUCGUUUUUGAGUAAGAUGAGCGAGGCAGGAAAGGACAAAUACUGUAUGAUCUCACUGAUAAGAAAUAAUUAGAACAUGCAAAUUCACAGAGUCAGACAUUAGAAUACAGGUUACCAGGGGUGGGGUGGGGCAGGAAAUGGGGAGGUAUUGCUUAAUGGGAACAGAGCUUCUGUUUUGGGGUGCUGGAAAAGUCUUGGUAAUGGAUGGCGGUGAUGGUAACUCAACAUUGUGCACGUAACUGAAUUGUAUCCUUAAAAGUGGUUCAAAGGGAAGAUUUUAUGCUGUAUACCACAAUAAAUUUUUUUAAAAAGCGAUAGAAUUGUACAACACGAAGAGUAAGCCCUAAUGUAAACCAUGGACUUUGGUGAAUGAUAUGAUGCUUAUAAUGAUAUUGGCUCAUCUGUUGUAACAAAUGUAUGGCACUAAAGCAAAAUGUUAACAAUAGGGAAAAUGUGCGUGGAGCGGGCUCUAUGGGAACUCUGUACUUUCUGCAUGAUUCUUCUGCAAACCUACACCUGCUCUAAAAAAUAAAAUUUUAAAAGUAUAGGAA
rnacentral:lncRNA from 1 species